GGCCCGUUUCAUACGCCGUACUUCACAUGUGCCGAAUACAUUAAAAACAAUAGAUAAUGAGCUGAAAUGCCUCAUUACCUAUUGUUUUUAAUGUAUUCGGCACAUGUGAAGUACGGCGUAUGAAACGGGCC